CCUUUCUUCUGUUCUUUCUUUUCCUUCCUGCUGCUGCAGAGAUGGCGCCUAGAAAGCUUUUGUGUUUAGCACACUGAAGCUCGGAGGGGUGGCGAGGCCUUGGCUGCUGACCCCAGCCCCUGCCUAAUUGGCCCCUGCAGGAGCCAGGACAGCUAAUUGAGCAGGGUCUGGACAAUGGGGCUGGGGGUGGGGCUGGCUUGGGGGAGGGGCUUCCUAGAGAGGCUCUGUUUUUCCUUUCCCAUUUCCCUUCCCAGGCCUCCCAGAACCCGGCCAACCUUCAGGGCUCCACUCUGGGCCCUCCACCUCCAGGAAGAUCCCCUGGGCUACCUCUACCCAGCCAUCAAUCACUCCUUCUCAGAGAGAGCUGCACUCCUGCCCUGCCCACCCACCAUUUAAUCAAGGCGCCGAGAUGGACAGUGAUACCAGGCAGCAAGAGCCAUCUCACUAAGGAGCAGAGUCAGGAGGCCGUCCUUCCUCCACCUGCCUUGUCUGCCGGGAUGAAAGAGAAAUCAUCAAUACCCACCUCCUGACACACACUCCACACAGGGGGAGGCUGAGACCCUGAGAGGGAAGGAGGUCAGCCAGGGUGGCCCCCCCAAGUCACGGCAGAAUAGAAACUGGACCUUAGGUCUCUGGAUACCCUUCCUA